UGGGGAAUAUUGGACAAUGGGCGAAAGCCUGAUCCAGCCAUGCCGCGUGUGUGAAGAAGGUCUUCGGAUUGUAAAGCACUUUAAGUUGGGAGGAAGGGCUGUAAGCGAAUACCUUGCUGUUUUGACGUUACCGACAGAAUAAGCACCGGCUAACUCUGUGCCAGCAGCCGCGGUAAUACAGAGGGUGCAAGCGUUAAUCGGAAUUACUGGGCGUAAAGCGCGCGUAGGUGGUUCGUUAAGUUGAAUGUGAAAGCCCCGGGCUCAACCUGGGAACUGCAUCCAAAACUGGCGAGCUAGAGUAGGGCAGAGGGUGGUGGAAUUUCCUGUGUAGCGGUGAAAUGCGUAGAUAUAGGAAGGAACACCAGUGGCGAAGGCGACCACCUGGGCUCAUACUGACACUGAGGUGCGAAAGCGUGGGGAGCAAACAGG
rnacentral:rRNA from 1 species